rnacentral:rRNA from 1 species
CCUACGGGUGGCUGCAGUGGGGAAUAUUUGACAAUGGGGGCAACCCUGAUCCAGCCAUGCCGCGUGUGUGAAGAAGGCCCUCGGGUUGUAAAGCACUUUCAGUGAGGAAGAACGCCUGGUGGUUAAUACCCAUCAGGAAAGACAUCACUCACAGAAGAAGCACCGGCUAACUCCGUGCCAGCAGCCGCGGUAAUACGGAGGGUGCGAGCGUUAAUCGGAAUUACUGGGCGUAAAGCGCGCGUAGGUGGCUUGAUAAGCCGGUUGUGAAAGCCCCGGGCUCAACCUGGGAACGGCAUCCGGAACUGUCAAGCUAGAGUGCAGGAGAGGAAGGUAGAAUUCCCGGUGUAGCGGUGAAAUGCGUAGAGAUCGGGAGGAAUACCAGUGGCGAAGGCGGCCUUCUGGACUGACACUGACACUGAGGUGCGAAAGCGUGGGUAGCAAACAGGAUUAGAUACCCCGGUAGUC